UACGAAGGGGGCUAGCGUUGCUCGGAAUCACUGGGCGUAAAGGGUGCGUAGGCGGGUCUUUAAGUCAGGGGUGAAAUCCUGGAGCUCAACUCCCAGAACUGCCUUUGAUACUGAAGAUCUUGAGUUCGGGAGAGGUGAGUGGAACUGCGAGUGUAGAGGUGAAAUCGUAGAUAUUCGCAAGAACACCAGUGGCGAAGGCGGCUCACUGGCCCGAUACUGACGCUGAGGCACGAAAGCGUGGGGAGCAAACAGG
rnacentral:rRNA from 1 species